rnacentral:rRNA from 1 species
UACAGAAAUUACAUUGAUAUUGUGGAUAACUCUGUGCGUAAAAAGGUAUAAAGCGGGGUUUUGCUGGGGAAUGCAGCAGUCAGUCAUUUUUCUGCAAUUUUUCUAUUGCGGCCUGCGGAGAACUCCCUAUAAUGCGCCUCCAUCGACACGGCGGAUGUGAAUCACUUCACACAAACAGCCGGUUCGGUUGAAGAGAAAAAUCCUGAAAUUCAGGGUUGACUCUGAAAGAGGAAAGCGUAAUAUACGCCACCUCGCGACAGUGAGCUGAAAGCCGCGUCGCAACUGCUCUUUAACAAUUUAUCAGACAAUCUGUGUGGGCACUCGAAGAUACGGAUUCUUAACGUCGCAAGACGAAAAAUGAAUACCAAGUCUCAAGAGUGAACACGUAAUUCAUUACGAAGUUUAAUUCUUUGAGCAUCAAACUUUUAAAUUGAAGAGUUUGAUCAUGGCUCAGAUU